rnacentral:lncRNA from 1 species
CCUCUGUGUGCUCAGCACCCAUGGUUGGAAUGAACAGAAUAUGUAAGGAUAUCUUCAUAUUUAUACCUAGAGGAGGUGAAGGGAGAGAGGCACGAGGCAGGAGCAGGCAGGGCAUGACGCAAAGUAGGGUGGCCCUGGAACAAAAAUUACACCCACGGCACUCAGGCUAAUAAGUAAAUAAAACAGCUCAUCAAAUUGCCACGAAAUCUCUAACACCCAACACGGUCCUGGCACAGAGUAGGUGAUUUAUCAAUGUUUCAUGAACAGGUGAAUAAACAAAUGAACGAAUGACUGGACCAGCUUGUAAGAACUUUCUUUUCUACCUACAGGAAGCUGCAAGUCUGCAUUGGAACUUACAGGGACGCAAUGAGAAGCCACACUCUUUGAGCAGCCACUGGGACCCAAGUGCUCACUCAGCAGUCCAGAGAUCCCCGCCUGUUCCUGAAAUUUGCAACAUCUGCCUGGGAAGUGAAGAGGGAAACAGUUUUUUUAAAGAUCAAGGAAUGAAAAAAAAAAAAACCCUUGCUGAGGCCUGUGGAUUUUCAAUUUGUUCCACAUGAGACUAUUUCAGGAAAUUACCUUUUAACUGAUGCUCAUCUUGUUUGUUCAGUAAUAUUCCCUUGAAAGGGGAUGGACCGUGAUCUAAGAGAUUUUUACAUCAUAAAAAUUCUACUAGUCUGUUUUCCAAGGGCGGUAUCCACGUUUCUAGUUCUUUGCCUUCCGAGGGGGAUUCUUUAUCCGUGUGGGAAAACAAAUUUGCUUCAAUUUUAAAAAUAAGUCACAUUUAAUCGACACUAGAUUUCUCUGUGAACAAACUACCUAUGAUUGCCUAGAGAGCACUUCUCCAGCUGUUGGACACGGGCCAAGGGCGGGCCUUGGGACAACGCUCAGGGGCUGGGCUAGCACGCAGCGCCCACACCGGCCCUCUGCCCCGUGGCCUGGAGGUGCCCAGUCCGUCGUUUGCCAGGUUAGAGCUCUGGCUUUCUGACCGUGUCGGUGGAGACUCUGAAGUCUGGUAGGGGGCCCUGAGGAAUGAGAGGAGGUUUCCGGGGCUGAGAACGAGCUCAGAGGUCCCGUCCAGGGACUGUAUUCCAGGUAGAGCACGGUAGGCUUGACUCGUUUUCAGAUGUUGGGGGGACCACAAAAUAUUAUUUUUGGAGAAAGCGUUCUGCUAUUCAUUUCACUGAUUCAUUUCACAAAUUGACUCUCAAAUCAUAUGGAGGGAUAGGUGCCCAAAAAUUGUCAGUGUAUUUCUGGAAAAAAGAAAGAUAGGCUGGGGAAUUACCCUACCGGGAGUGUGAAGACUUAGAGAGAGCCUUGUAAUUUAAACAAUGUGAAUUGGCUUUGGGAGAGACAGACAGAUCAGUGAAGUGGAAUAAUUAGAACAGAGGGUCCAGAAAUAGACUCGUGUACAGGGAAAUUUUAGAGAGAGUAAGGACAUUACAGAUCCCUGGGGAAAGGACAGAGUCUUUAAUAAAUGGUGCUGUGACAACUGUCCAUCCAAAUGGGGGAACACAGAUCUCUACAUCAUGGUGUACCCCAACAUAGAAUCGCAGCUGAAUGUCCAUCAACAGUUUUGGCAAGUCAGCUAAGCACUUGAGCUCUCUGGAUGGGGGAGAUCCCACUGAGCAUUCCACGGCGGCUUGGUCCCCGCAGGAGGAGAGGACAGCUGGCUGGGCAGCGCCACGGGGAGUCAGCCUCGCAGGCAGGAGGCAGGGGUGCCCACGGUGCCACGUGUCUCCUUCUGAGUUCCACUGACUUCCAGUCCCUGCCGUUCUAGGGGUAAGUGGGGAAAGAUGCCUGCCUCCACGCCUUCCCUCUCUUGGACUGUUGGAGCACACCUGGUUUUGAGAGAGGUGGUACACCUAGAGUGUAAGAGUUUGCUGAGAAGUCAUCCGUACCUGGCUCUGAAUUGUGGCUCUGACCCUCACUUACAUGCCUUGGGUCAAGAGUACUACCUACAUUUUCUGGGAUUAUUGUGAGGAUUAAACAAGGUGAUCCAUGUAAUGAACAUAGCAUAGUGCCUGUAUGUAUAAGAGCUCAACAAGUGGGUCACCUACUAUUGGCAUUUUCUCCUAUACAAAGCUUUGUAAUAUUUCUUCUCUCUUAAUUUACAUUUAUUGAACAUCUGCAUAUCAGACCUUGUAAAAGGUAAUUUUGCACAUUUCAUCUCACUUAAUCUUGUUAAGAACCUAAGAAAUAGGUUUUGCUAUCCUCAUUUAGCAGUUCUGUGUAUCUGAAUUAUCUCUCCAAUGAAACAAUAAACUAGUAUUUUCCUAACUAUGCAAUGGGGUCAUGAGAUUUGAAGUUAUUUUGCUAAAAAAAAGGGGGGGAAUUCCAUGGUUAAAUAAGUUUGGGAGAUUUGGGGUAAAACAAACCAAGUUUCUUUACUGCUGGCCAUCUCAAGGUCAUUGACAUGUUAAUUUAUAUUGAUAAUUUCCAGAAAAGGGAUGUGGCACUUUGACGUUAUUUUUGUGAAUCCCCCCAAAAAGAGAAGGAUUAUGUUUGUAAACUGGUCUGUUCCUCUGGUGCGAGCCCACUUUGGUUGUAUUACAUUCAGCUGGCAUGUCUAGUAAAUUACCUGCUAAGAUUAGGGCUCUGAUUAGAUCACGUCAGUAGGGCGUGGCUUAGGGUUGAGUACCCGCCCCCUUGGGGGGCUGAUAUAAAUGGGCACUCACUCUAGAAGACACAUGGGAAGAGAGAGAGCCCCAUAGGUGCCAGAGGAGAGAAUUUUGUCACAUGAGAGAGGGGAAAAGGCUCAAAUAGCUAUAGCCCUGGGAAGAGAGAUGAGCCAUUUAUCGAUAGUUUGCAGCUGAAGAGAACAGAGCAGCUGAGAAGACCCAGAAAGAGAUGAGCCCUACACCAGAGACUGACAUAGGAAUCCCCGAGGGGCCAGGCAGAGAUGCCCACCAUCUCGCUUCAACACGAGGUGGCUGACUUUGGGAGAAAGCAGCCUUGAGGUGGACUCUUUAGGGCCUUGUAACUGGAAGCUUUUACCCAAAUAAAUACCCUUUAUAAAAACCAACAGAUUUCUGGUACUUUGCAUCAGGUCUCCUUUGGCUAAUAGAGAGGGAUUUGUUAACAUAUCUGAUCAUCAAACCAGUUCUUUGAGUUUUCCUCAGAAUACAGCUUGGGAAUGUGUGCAGUAAAGAUCCACUGAAUAGAGGGAUCCAGUUUUAUGCUUUUUUUUUUUUUUUUUUUUUAAAGAUUUAUUUAUUUAUUUAAUUUCCCCCCCUCCCCUGGUUGUCUGUUCUUGGUGUCUAUUUGCUGCGUCUUGUUUCUUUGUCCGCUUCUGUUGUCAUCAGCGGCAUGGGAAGUGUGGGCGGCGCCAUUCCUGGGCAGGCUGCACUUUCUUUCACGCUGGGCGGUUUUCC